rnacentral:rRNA from 1 species
CCUACGGGUGUCAGCAGUGGGGAAUAUUGGACAAUGGGGGGAACCCUGAUCCAGCGACGCCGCGUGAGUGAAGAAGUAUUUCGGUAUGUAAAGCUCUAUCAGCAGGGAAGAAAAUGACGGUAACUGACUAAGAAGCCCCGGCUAACUACGUGCCAGCAGCCGCGGUAAUACGUAGGGGGCAAGCGUUAUCCGGAUGUACUGGGUGGAAAGGGAGCGUGGACGGUGAAGCACGUCUGAUGUGAAAGGUCGGGGCGCAACCCCGGGACUGCAUUGGAAAAUGUUGAAAUGGAGUACAGGAGAGGUAAGCGGAAUUCCUAGGGUAGCGGUGAAAUGCGUAGAUAUUAGGAGGAACACCAGUGGCGAAGGCGGCUUACUGGACUGUAACUGACGUUGAGGCUCGAAAGCGUGGGGAGCAAACAGGAUUAGAUACCCUUGUAGUC